CGAGAUAACUAGCGUUAAGGAACUCGGCAAAAUGCACACGUAACUUCGGGAGAAGUGUGGCCUUCUUUGGUUUAGCAAUAGGUUAGAGAAGGUUGCAGAGAGCAGGCCCAAGCGACUGUUUACCAAAAACACAGGUCUCUGCGAACGCGCAAGCGGACGUAUAGGGACUGACGCCUGCCCGGUGCUGGAAGGUUAAGAGGAGGAGUCAGCAGCAAUGCGAAGCCCUGAAUCGAAGCCCCAGUAAACGGCGGCCGUAACUAUAACGGUCCUAAGGUAGCGAAAUUCCUUGUCGGGUAAGUUCCGACCCGCACGAAUGGUGGAACGAUUUGGGCACUGUCUCAACGCUCGACUCGGUGAAAUUUAUAUACCGGUAAAGAAGCCGGUUACCUGUGGUUAGACGGGAAGACCCCGUGAACCUUUACUGCAACUUAUCAUUGGGACUUGACUUGACAUGUGUAGAAUAGGUGGGAGGCUUUGAAGCAUGGCCGCUAGGUUGUGUGGAGCCGUCGGUGAAAUACCACUCUUGUUAAGUUAGGUUUCUAACCCGUUCUGUCAAUCCAGGAUGGGGACAGUGUUAGGCGGGCGGUUUGACUGGGGCGGUCGCCUCCUAAACGGUAACGGAGGUGCGCGAAGGUCGCCUUACGCUGGUUGGAAAUCAGCGCACAAGUGUAAAGGCACAAGGCGGCUUGACUGCGAGUCCGACAGGACGAGCAGGUACGAAAGUAGGUCUUAGUGAUCUGGCGGUAGCGAGUGGAAACGCCGUCACUUAACGGAUAAAAGGUACUCUGGGGAUAACAGGCUGAUCUUGCCCAAGAGUUCACAUCGACGGCAAGGUUUGGCACCUCGAUGUCGGCUCAUCGCAUCCUGGGGCUGGAGCAGGUCCCAAGGGUUUGGCUGUUCGCCAAUUAAAGCGGUACGUGAGCUGGGUUCUGAACGUCGUGAGACAGUUCGGUCCCUAUCUGCCACGGGCGUUGGAUGGUUGAGAGGAGCUGCCUUUAGUACGAGAGGACCGAGGUGGACGUACCUCUGGUGUACCGGUUAUCGUGCCAACGGUAUGUGCCGGGUAGCCAAGUACGGAAGGGAUAACCGCUGAAAGCAUCUAAGUGGGAAGCCCACCUCAAGAUAAACCAUCCCUGAGGGUUCGACCCUCCUGAAGGCACCAGGGAGAAUACCUGGUUGAUAGGCUGCAGGUGUACGUACGGUAACGUACUCAGCCGAGCAGUACUAAUCUGCCGUGAGGCUUGACCAU
rnacentral:rRNA from 1 species